GGUUAUUUUUCCUUUUGCUGUCUAGUCAUCCUCCUCGGUCUUCUGCUUCUUGGUGUCCACAUCGUCAUCCUCAUCAUCCUCAGCUACCCGCUUGCCCGUAGGAGCCUCAGCUUCCUCAUCUUCAUCUCCCUCAUUGUCAGCCUCCUGCUCCCCAUUUUCCUCAUUUUGAGCGUUCCCAUUGGCAGGUGCAUCUCUUCCAUUCUCUGCCUCCUCCACAACUUCCUUCUUCUCCUUCAAGUCCUUGGUGGUGAUCUCGGAGCUGGUAUCCACUGCCGCGUCUGACAUGGUGGGGCACGCCGGUGGUCCGAUGCCGCGAGUGAGGGAAUUAAAGU
rnacentral:lncRNA from 1 species